UUAUUGGAGAUAAGAGUUAACAGAUAUUGAUAAAGUUUGUUUAGGUUGUUAUGGAUAGAUAAUUUCUGUUGUAACUUAUUUUGUAACCAUAUACUAUUUAGUAUAGGACUCUUCUUGUAUUUAAACAGCAUACUAAUGACAAUACGAUCAUCUCUUCUUUUCUAUAGUC